UCCACUCCACUCGAAUCAAACCCCACACGGAAACUCCGCUCCCAUUUGAAAUCCUCCAACCCGCGGGACUCGCCGCCGUCGCGGCCGGCCGGCCCGCCGUGGAGAGGCCCGAUCGCCGGCUCGACGCGGGCGGGCCAGCGGCGCGGAGCCGCCGCCCGACGCCACCGGCGCCUCUGACGCAUCAACUGGCCCGACAUCAGCAAAGCUCAAGAUUGGAUCAGUCAGUGUAACGUUGCAGCUACAAACCAGAAAUGUAUUGUAACAGGCUAAAAGCAUAUGUGGGCAACCACUGGUAGACAAUUGAGUAUCGGAGAGGAGAAAGCAUCUGCAUAACCUAAGAAUAGUUAAUAAGGCACUUUUGGUUCAGGUGGCCCAGCCGCCCGAGUGAUGCAAUGGCAAAGAUCCAUAGAAGCUUCCGAUGCAUUGAGCCUACCAUACCUUCAUGCCUUUAUGAACUGGAGCAGCCUGUGGUGGGUGCGCUGGAGGUUAUAGUAUCUUUUUACUCACUUCUCUUGUUAGGUGCCGGUUCUGAUGCACUGACAAAGAUUUGAAGUAUUUUUGCACCUGACCUACCUCAUUCUAGAAGGGGUUAUUGCACUCUUCAUCAUUGACGUUAUAGAUAAAUCACUUACAGCAUCUUUCAGUUGCUCAAACGGUGGUGUUAGGUAAAGCUAUACAGGCUUUGCAUCAUAUCCGCAUGCAUCCACAAUAUCCCACCCACUAUAUUUUUCUUUUCUCCUUUCUUUUCCCUUUUGGUUUCCUCGAGUCCUACUCAGUCACAGGUAGAACCUUCACUAGACCUAACUCAUCCUAUGUAGUAUGAAUGUCAAAACACCUUUACAUCUUUUCUUCUCUUUUGCUUUGGAAAGUAGAUUUAUCCAAAAGCUUAUGUGCCUUUCAUCUGGAAAAGGCAUUUGUGCACUUAUCUGCUCCACUCAUGUCAUGUGUGCUGCAUGUCGGAAAAGAUUGAGAGCAAUUUGGCAUGCAGUCAAACCAGCUGGGUGUUUCACCUUGCUGAUGGGAGAGAAUCUCACCAAUGGACAAUGGUUGUAGUGCUCCAUAAUGGAGUGCCUAUGCAUCUUUAGAGCACAAUGAAUGAAUAAAGUAGCAUUUUGACUUUAGAAUAAAACCAUUUGCGGCACAUAUGCACAAUAUACUGCCUUGUUCUUUACAUAUUCUGCCAAUUUAAUGGCUGCAUGAGUUCUUUUGAACCUGCCUUUGUUUCGAGACAAUUGGUUUGAGAGUUUCAGGUAAAGGUCACCCCUAGUCUGUUUUGGGAUUGUAUUUGGUAACAAACUGGUACAAUUGUUACACUCUUUCUCGUGGCAAUACUUUGUAUAGCACAUAGUAUUCUGUUAACACUCGCAAGAUGGAGGAUCGUGCCACAAUCCGUGUUGUAGGGGGCCACUAAAACAAAAGGUGUAAAGCUAAGAUCAACCGCAAUGGGUCGGUGGUUUUAGGAUCUAGUUGCUGUCAAUACAGACAAGAAUCUGUGUGGAUAGAUUAGGGUUAAUUUUGCAAUAAGUAUUCUGACGACUAGGUAUUCAUUUAUAUCUGCUCACUGUUUACAUGUUCAACAGAAUCAUUAAUUCAUUUUUUGUUCUUUUUGCAAAGAUAAGUGCACAUGAUAUAUUCUUGAUGUGAUCUGGAGAUCGUGCAAAUGGCUAAUCAUAUUAGGUUUUAGUAUGCAGAACUAUGACCUCCUGUAGUAUGUGUGGUCCUGUAGUUGCAGUUGCUUUUCCAGAACAUACAUGACAGAGUUCACUGAAUGGUCCUGAACAGCUUAAAUGAAUAAUCGUGACUUCAAAAGCAGCUGUUACUUGGGCUAUCAUUCUGUAAAGCCGCUAUAAGGUUACCUUACAUAUAGAUGUGAGGAUGCAUACAUGUUGCUGGACUGCCUGCUCAUACUCAAAAGCACGCACUGUCUUCUACAUAGCCAGGUAUGCAUAAUGUAAGGACAAUACACUCAUCAUCUAGAAUUCUAGAUACAG